GCGGGCGGGGAGAGCAGGAAGAAGAGCUCAACCCGCAAAUGGGGGGCAACACGCAGGGUUUGAAUGCAAGGAUCGCAAGGGUAUUCUCUGCAUCAGAUCAAUAGUGGAUGCUGUCUUCAGAGUGCACCUGUAACAAACAUCUGCACUUGUGUAAUAUUGCCGGAAUUCUUAUGAAGUGCUACAAGACCAAUUGUACUUACCGAGUGUCAGGUACGCACAGCCACAGAUCUCCUAUAUCUACAAGUAAGGAGUGCAGCAACUAUCUCUAUCAUUGAUUCAAUACCCUGGGUCUGCAGUGGCAGCUGUGUUUGGAUUUACCAUAGGGUGGCAAAAGCAGUCACAGCAUAAUGACUUCCAUUUGAAAGAGACCAUCCAUUUCAAGUGUUUCUUAAAGG